rnacentral:rRNA from 1 species
AUUGAACGCUGGCGGCAUGCCUUACACAUGCAAGUCGAACGGUAACAGGUCUUCGGAUGCUGCCGAGUGGCGAACGGGCGAGUAAUACACCGGAACGUGCCCGACCGUGGGGGAUAACGAAGCGAAAGCUUUGCUUAUAUCGCAUACGAUCUACGGAUGAAAGCAGGGAACUGUAAGGACUUGCGCGAACGGAGCGGCUGAUGGCAGAUUAGGCAGUUGGUUGGAUAAAAGCUUACCAAGCCGACGAUCUGUAGCUGGUCUGAUAGGACGACCAGCCACACUGGGACUGAGACACGGCCCAGACUCCUACGGGAGGCAGCAGUGGGGAAUUUUGGACAAUGGGCGAAGGCCUGAUCCAGCCAUGCCGCGUGCAGGAUGAAGGCUUUCGGGUUGUAAGCUGCUUUUGUACGGAACGAAAAGACUCUGGUUAAUACCUGGGGUCCAUGACGGUACCGUAAGAAUAAGCACCGGCUAACUACGUG